rnacentral:rRNA from 1 species
UACGUAGGGGGGCAAGCGUUGUCCGGAAUCAUUGGGCGUAAAGAGCGUGUAGGCGGCCAGAUAAGUCCGCUGUGAAAUCUCGAGGCUCAACUUCGAGCUGUCGGUGGAAACUGUCUGGCUAGAGUCCGGAAGAGGAGAUGGAAUUCCUGGUGUAGCGGUGAAAUGCGCAGAUAUCAGGAAGAACACCCGUGGCGAAGGCGGUUCUCUGGGACGGUACUGACGCUGAGACGCGAAAAGCGUGGGGAGCGAACGG